UUUCUUGGCUGUCGAUGUUUUGAUUCGAUGUUUUGUUUUUUGCUUGACUUCAAAGCUAUUUUCUGAAACACCAGGUAGACUAGCAGUAGUGCUUAGUUCCACAGCUAUAGUUUCGACAGAUUUUGUCAAUAUUUAUUAUUAUGUAAAUAAUAAUUCUAAUAUUUAUUUAAUAUUGUUGUACUUUUAUCAUGAGAUUUCUACUGUUGUUACUUUGUGUCGGGCUCGGCUCGUCAAGUCAAAACUCGGAGAAUUCCGAUGGCUGUACCGCCCCGUUUUUAAUAGCAGACAAACCGUUCGUGGUUGUAUGGAACGUGCCGUCAUUCGUGUGUCGUAAUGUGGAGUUCAAUUUGACGGAGUGGGGGAUCGUGACGAACAAAGACGACCGCUUUAUGGGCGGUGAGAUUACACUUUUCUACCAUCUAGGGGACUGGCCCUACUUUUAUAAGAAUGGAUCGGCCCACAAUGGCGGGAUUCCGCAGGUUGCGAACAGAAAAAGACACUACGAGAACGUUGUCAGUCGAAUCCGUGAGGUCAUCCCUAAUAAACAUUUCGACGGUCUUGCCGUCAUCGAUUUUGAAGCAUGGCGGCCACUGUUCGGUCAAAACUUCGACGCGCUGUUCAUCUACAAGCAGCGAUCGGUAGAUCUGGUUAAAUCCAGGUUCCCAUCUUGGACGAACAAGACUCAAAUUUGGAACGAAGCCGCGAGGGAGUUUGAGAAUGCCGCUAGAUUGUUCAUGGAAGGGACAUUACAACUGUCAAGAUAUCUGCGACCGGAUGGUAAAUGGGGUUACUAUGGUUUCCCGAGGUGUUACGGAGCUUCGCCGAGUCAUCUGACGUGUAACAACCCUUCCACGUCGAAGGCUAAUGACAAAAUUGGUUGGUUGUUCAAAACAAGUGCCGGUCUUUUCCCUCGCAUCUACACAAACCCGACUAUACCCCGCAAACCACGGGUCGAAUAUGUCCGACGGCAGAUCAACGAAACCCUCCGAGUACAGGCGAAAUUUAACGAACUCUACCGACCCAUAAUGCCUUACAGCAUGUGCCAGGUUAAGAAGGUUUUCUUCGAUGAGCAAGAUCUCGAUAUUUCCAUCAAAGAACCGGCGGACAUGGGGGCGUCCGGGGUCGUUUUGUGGGGCAGUUCUUCCCUGUUUCACCUCAAAGACGAAUGCCACAAACUUCAGACGUAUAUCAAGACCGUACUCGGUCCGUUUGUCGUGAAAUUGACGGCUUUUACGACAUCGUGCUACAGAGAACACUGCAGUGGUCACGGUCGGUGCGUACGUAAAGAUUACGAAGCCAUGACGCAGCAGCAUUUGAGGCAAAACAACAAAAUCGCUUGCAGGAAGCCAUGGACGGAAUAUGCCGAUGAUGUACGAAUGAAGUGGACGGAAUAUGCCGAUGCUGCACAAAAGGUGCCGACGAAAAAUACCGAAUUCACACGUACAAACUUUACGAGCUUCGAUGAUCUUUCACGAAAGGACUCGAUAAAGUUCGUGAAUACGUUUGAGCAGAAGACGGAUGGAUUUGCAAACAGAAAAGAAGCUCCGUAUGGUAAUUACGUCUGCCACUGUUUGCCUGGGUGGCGCGGGCCGCGUUGUUCUAAACCGGUGUAGAUCAGCAUGGAUUUCUCUAGCUGUGUGCCACAUCAUAAUAUAUUAUGCAUGAUACUAAGUCAAGCUUGAGGAUUUGCCUUUUUUUUCGCAGAAGUAUGGUCAUUGAAUUGAUUACAACAAUCCCACAUA
rnacentral:misc_RNA from 1 species